UUGGCUAUUUUUACCAGUUUUGUCCUGGACAUGUUGGAAGAGGCUGCUGAUCUCUCACAUGGGUGUGCGUUGACAAGGCCUUAGGUGAAAAUUAUACUACUGCAGACAUUGGAACAGUGCAAGUUAAAAUAUAUUUACAAAAGUGUUAUGUCAUUUAUAUAGAUACAAUUACCCAUGUGCCCUCAGUACACUUCCUUCUUCUUCAUAUCACUCAGAAUAAAUGAAGGUCCAAUAUCUGCAGCUAGGGUGGAGACACCCUGCUCGGUGGAUGGUCAUGUUGACUUGAAAGUGUUUGCAUAGUUUUCUGCUAACACCUAUGGGCUGCUGACAGUCUACUGCCUAGAUGCAGGCUCACCUUCCUCAGCUUGUAUUGCUGAAGGCUUUGGGAAUCCCAAUCAGUAGGAGGUCACGAGGCAUUUACCUCUAGAGUGUCAAGAGAAGAACCUUCUUGAGUGCCUGUGUUGGCGUCAUCCUCACUGAGAGAAUGGGAAGCAUCCAGUCUCCUGAAUGGAGGGGCAGCUAGAAUGACAGAAAUAUUCUCAUUCCUCUCUUGUCUUGUCACUGAUGAUGAGCACCAAUGGUUAAAGGGUCCGAAGGCAGGUACAUGUGUACAUCCAGCAGACAGUGAGUGUAGUGGGCUUGGAUCUUCAAGGCAAUAGCACUUUACCCAUGGAGGCAGCCAGGCACAAUUUUAUUUGGAACUUUGAUUUUUGAUUUGAUUUAUUGUAGUCACGUGCAUCUAAAUGCAGUGAAAAGCUUAGUUUUGCGGCAUUCCAGGCAAAUCAUAGCAAAUGAGGACUUACAGACAAUAGAGUGUUUAGAAAGAGCAAGGCACACAAGGUUACAACUGCACGGGAGGUGCAUAGAGCAAGAUCAACAUUAUUUGCAGUUAGAGAGAUCCAUCCAGCAAUCUAAUAACAGCAGGGAAGAUGUUGUUCUUGAAUCUAUGGUGUGUGUGUUCAAGUGUCGGUAUCUUCUGCCUAAUGGAAGAGGUAGUGGGAGUGCAUUACCAGGAUGGGAGGAGUCUUUGAUGAUAUUGGCAGCCUUUUUGUGACAAUAUGAAGUGUCAAUGGAGUCCAUGGAUGGAAAGCUGGCUUCUCUGAUGGCCUGGGCUGUGCACGCAACCACCUGUAGUUUCUUAUGGUCCUGGGCAGAGCACUUGCCAUGCCAUGUUACACACCUGAUCAAAUGUUUUCUAUGGUGCAUUUGGAAAAGUUGAUAAGGGUUCUUUUGGACAUGCUGAAUUUCCUAAGUCUCCUGAGGAAGAGAAGGGUCUUCUUCGUUCAAUCCAAUUCACUGCAACAGGGAAUAUCUUCUGCCUGAGAGUCUGAGCAUGUACCUUGUCUCUGGCAGCCCUCAGGGUCAGACCCCUGGGACAUUCCUCCUCAGUUGAGACAUAAUGACUUUCCCAUCAGGCUGGUCAACCAAGUCCAGGUUGCAAAAGAUACCAGUCAGUCUGUUGCAGGAGGGUGCAGAGGUUGCUUGGACAACCUCUGAAAGAUCCCUGGUUUCCUCUAGCUUCAAGCAACAUUGAAAGGAUUAGGCACUAACUUCUUAGCAAAGGUUCACUUAGUCCUGAAUAGUGCUUACAUACAAAGGGAAAUUAAUAGUAGAAGAUGAUAAAAAUUUGUACUCGAUGAUGAAAAAACCACCUCAUGAUCUAAGGAGGGAGCACUUCAUUGACAAAGUUUGUUUUGAUGGUGAGAAUCUGAUUUUUGGUGUCACAUCUAUUGAAGUCAUCAUGCCUGCCAUUAUUCCCACCAGCUUAGGGAGGGGAAGACAGGGUCCAAAUGCUUCUGGGGGCAGGUGCUUCUUGAUAAUAGAAUGAAUAACAGAAGGUGUGCACAAAGUCAGCAGGAAGCCCCAAUAGUUUGUUAGGUGACGAGAAAAGUUAAAGGUUCUUCCCCAGUUCACAGCAUAUAAAACUAAAAAAAAGGUGUAUAAUAAAACACAAAAAAAGACAAAGCUUGUUUGAAUGCAAUGGAGUUUCACAAGAUCAGGAUACUUCAGAGACUGACAGCCAAGGCAAUUCUGUAUUUUGAAAGUGCCAUCACUGUUAAAACUUGGGUAACACAGAAGCUUAUUCAUGCUUAUUAAUGCACAGACAACUUUCCAGAAAUUGGCAAUGAAGUGAUGAUCCAAUGGAUUUUCUUUUAGAUGUUGUUUGAUAAAUAAAAAGCUGCCAGGAUAACAGAGAAAAAGAUCCUCUCUCUGUGAGGGUAUUCAGAAGAUGAGAGAGCUUUUGUCAAGCUGUUGUUUCACAGCCUCUGAUAUACCCUCUCUCAGAUCGAAUUCUUGACGACAUAUCCUUAUUGUUGUUAAAGACAAUUGUUAUUCUUGACAAAAGGGGACAAAUCAUGUUGAGACUUGAAGUUAUGACAUUACUCUUCACUGAAAAUGGUAUUUCACAAUGAACAUUUUGAAAUGUAAUCAAAUGUAAUGCUAUUGCCAGUAUUCAGCUUUCCUAAAUUGCUAUUUAGCAUUUUUACUAACCAAAAGUUUAAUGACUUCUGUUUUGUUUCUCUAUUUGAAC